AUUCCUACGGGAGGCAGCAGUGGGGGAUAUUGCACAAUGGAGGAAACUCUGAUGCAGCAACGCCGCGUGAGGGAAGACGGUUUUCGGAUUGUAAACCUCUGUCCUUGGUGAAGAUAAUGACGGUAGCCAAGGAGGAAGCUCCGGCUAACUACGUGCCAGCAGCCGCGGUAAUACGUAGGGAGCAAGCGUUGUCCGGAUUUACUGGGUGUAAAGGGUGCGUAGGCGGCACUGCAAGUCAGGCGUGAAAGCCGGAGGCUUAACCUCCGAACUGCGUUUGAAACUGUGGUGCUUGAGUGAAGUAGAGGUAGGCGGAAUUCCCGGUGUAGCGGUGAAAUGCGUAGAGAUCGGGAGGAACACCAGUGGCGAAGGCGGCCUACUGGGCUUUAACUGACGCUGAGGCACGAAAGCAUGGGUAGCAAACAGGAUUAGAUACCCUGGUAGUCCAUGCCGUAAACGAUGAUUACUAGGUGUGGGGGGUCUGACCCCUUCCGUGCCGGAGUUAACACAAUAAGUAAUCCACCUGGGGAGUACGGCCGCAAGGUUGAAACUCAAAGGAAUUGACGGAAU
rnacentral:rRNA from 1 species